rnacentral:rRNA from 1 species
AAUGCAGUCGGACGGGANCCAUCGGAGAGCUUGCUCGAAGAUGGUGAGAGUGGCGCACGGGUGCGUAACGCGUGAGCAACCUACCUCUAUCAGGGGGAUAGCCUCUCGAAAGAGAGAUUAACACCGCAUAACAUCAACAGUUCGCAUGUUCGGUUGAUUAAAUAUUUAUAGGAUAGAGAUGGGCUCGCGUGACAUUAGCUAGUUGGUAGGGUAACGGCUUACCAAGGCGACGAUGUCUAGGGGCUCUGAGAGGAGAAUCCCCCACACUGGUACUGAGACACGGACCAGACUCCUACGGGAGGCAGCAGUAAGGAAUAUUGGUCAAUGGGCGGAAGCCUGAACCAGCCAUGCCGCGUGCAGGAUGACUGCCCUAUGGGUUGUAAACUGCUUUUGUCCAGGAAUAAACCUAAAUACGUGUAUUUAGCUGAAUGUACUGGAAGAAUAAGGAUCGGCUAACUCCGUGCCAGCAGCCGCGGUAAUACGGAGGAUCCGAGCGUUAUCCGGAUUUAUUGGGUUUAAAGGGUGCGUAGGCGGCCUAUUAAGUCAGGGGUGAAAUACGGUGGCUCAACCAUCGCAGUGCCUUUGAUACUGAUGGGCUUGAAUCCAUUUGAAGUGGGCGGGAAUAAGACAAGUACCGGUGAAAUGCAUAGAUAUGUCUUAGAACUCCGAUUGCGAAGGUG